rnacentral:rRNA from 1 species
GGAAUCUUGCGCAAUGGGCGAAAGCCUGACGCAGCAACGCCGCGUGCGGGAAGAAGGCUUUCGGGCUGUAAACCGCUUUCAGCAGGAACGAAAAUGACGGUACCUGCAGAAGAAGGAGCGGCCAACUAUGUGCCAGCAGCCGCGGUGAUACAUAGGCUUCAAGCGUUGUCCGGAUUUAUUGGGCGUAAAGAGUUCGUAGGCGGUCGAGUAAGUCGGGUGUGAAAAUUCUGGGCUCAACCCAGAGACGCCACCCGAUACUGCUUAACUUGAGUUCGAUAGGGGAGUGGGGAAUUCCUAGUGUAGCGGUGAAAUGCGCAGAUAUUAGGAGGAACACCGGUGGCGAAGGCGCCACUCUGGAUCGACACUGACGCUGAGGAACGAAAGCAUGGGUAGCAAACAGGAUUAGAUACCCUGGUAGUCCAUGCGGUAAACGGUGGGCACUAGGUGUGGGUUUCUAUUAACGAAAUCCGCGCCGUCGCUAACGCAUUAAGUGCCCCGCCUGGGGAGUACGGUCGCAAGACUAAAACUCAAAUGAAUUGACGG